rnacentral:misc_RNA from 1 species
GAUGAAGAACGUAGCGAAAUGCGAUACUUGGUGUGAAUUGCAGAAUCCCGUGAACCAUCGAGUCUUUGAACGCAAGUUGCGCCCGAAGCCAUUAGGCCGAGGGCACGCCUGCCUGGGCGUCACACGUCGUUGCCCCCCCCAUCUACUCCUUCGGGAUUGCGGGGGGCGGAUGAUGGCCUCCCGUGCGCCUUGUCGCGCGGUUGGCAUAAAUACCAAGUCCUCGGCGACGCACGCCACGACAAUCGGUGGUUGCGAAACCUCGGUUGCCCGUCGUGUGCGGUCGUCGCGCAUCGAGGGCUCGAAAAAAUUGCCGGGCUCCGGCUCGGCUUUCAACGCGACCCCAGGUCAGGCGGGGUUACCCGCUGAAUUUAAGCAUAUCAAUAAGCGGAGGA